CUUCCCUGGCGUCAGUUUUCUCCUGCUCGCCCUCAGUUGUCCUUAGUUGUCUCACAAAAAGUUAUAUUUUAACUGAAUUUCCUUUAGAGAAGGUGAAACAGAAACAAAUAGAAUGAGUCAUUCUCAGAAAGAUGUCAUGUGAUUUCGGUGAAACCACUGCUUUUGCUAACAAUCCAUCUAUGGUUACACAGAGGGAGGGGACAAGGAAACACAAUCUCAAGUCUAUUUCCAGAUCUAGACCAGCCAGAGUCACAGGGAGCCUCGAGGAGAGAGGUUGGCCUCCUUCCCAAGAAAAUAAAGAAGAUGGAGCCAAAAAGCAUACUGUUCCUCACAAUGGGAAAGGGGAGCGUAGUCUUGUUGGCCACAGGGUCUGCAGUGUGGGUCGCUGGGGUUGCAUUGCUUCUGGGCGUCGGUGGAUAUCUGUACUACAAGAAGGAGAUGCAAAACAAGAAUAAAUUUCAUUGACAGGAAUCCUUUCCAAUCCCCUAGCCAGACAUGGAGGCCUGCCUUGCUGAAAAACUUUACAAAGCAACUUGCUAUACAUGGUUUAUAUUUUGAGUAUGAACAAAGUAAACUUUUGGACAAAAUAAAAUUAAUUGAAUACA